rnacentral:rRNA from 1 species
GAUGAACGCUGGCGGUAUGCCUAACACAUGCAAGUUGUACGAGAGUUUUUAACUCUAGUGGCGGACGGGUGAGUAACACGUGAGAAUUUGCCUUUAGGAGGGGGACAACAAUUGGAAACGAAUGCUAAUACCCCAUAUGCUUUCGAGUGGAAUGGAUUUUAUCCGCCUAGAGAGAAGCUCGCGGCUGAUUAGCUUGUUGGUAAGGUAAGAGCUUACCAAGGCGACGAUCAGUAUCUGGUUUGAGAGGACGAUCAGACACACUGGAACUGAGACACGGUCCAGACUCCUACGGGAGGCAGCAGUGGGGAAUUUUCCGCAAUGGGCGAAAGCCUGACGGAGCAAUACCGCGUGAGGGAAGAAUGCCUAUGGGUUGUAAACCUUCUUUUUCAGGGUAGGAAUAAAAUAGACGUGUACCUGAAGAAUAAGCAUCGGCUAACUCCGUG